CGAGCAAAAUGAAUUUUAGUCCGAACCCCCGAAACUAAGUGAGCUACUUCAAAACGUCUUAAGGACAAACCCGUCUCUGUCGCAAUAGAGUGGAAUGAUUUUCAAGUAGCGGCGACAAACCUACCGCACUUAGAGAUAGCUGGUUGCUCAAGAACAGAAUACAAGUUCAGCCUUAAGUUUUUCAAUUACAAAAGAAACCUUACAAAACUUAAGAGUUAUUCAAAUAAGGCACAGCUUAUUUGAAACAGGGCACAACCUACAACACCGGGUAAAACUUCAGAACAAACAACAAGUGGGCCUAAAAGCAGCCAUCUUCUAAAAAGCGUUAAAGCUUAAUUUUUAUUCUAUUCAAAUGUCCAUAUAUACCUUUAACCCGCCACCAAUAUUGAGCAAUUUCAUAACAUAUGAAAAAUAUAAUGCUAAAACUAGUAACAAGAAAACUUUCUCCAAAAUGUAAGCCUAAGCCACAAUAGAUAACCUACUGGCAAUUAACGUCAAUGACCGCCCUAUAGCACCUCAGACAAGAAAACCCUACAACUUUAAACGUUAACCUUACACCAGAACAUUAAUGGAAAGAUUAAAAGAAAAAGAAGGAACUCGGCAAACCUUAACCC
rnacentral:rRNA from 1 species